UACGUAGGGGGCAAGCGUUGUCCGGAAUCAUUGGGCGUAAAGAGCGUGUAGGCGGCUCGGUAAGUCCGCUGUGAAAGUCCAGGGCUCAACCCUGGAAUGCCGGUGGAAACUGUCGAGCUAGAGUCCGGAAGAGGCGAGUGGAAUUCCUGGUGUAGCGGUGAAAUGCGCAGAUAUCAGGAGGAACACCGAUGGCGAAGGCAGGUCUCUGGGCCACUACUGACGCUGAGAAGCGAAGACAUGGGGAGCGAACAGG
rnacentral:rRNA from 1 species